GUGCUCGCUUUGGCAGCACAUAUACUAAAAUUGGAACGAUACAGAGAAGAUUAGCAUGGCCCCUGCACAAGGAUGACACACAAAUUCGUGAAGCGUUCCAUAUUUUU
rnacentral:snRNA from 1 species